UCGUAAAUUAAUGUAAACAAAACUCUUUCGCUGGCUAAAAAUUUACAACUCAUAAUUUAAAGGAACAUUUUGUUGGAUUUUUUUUUUUUAUCUAUUGCUGUUUUGUUACAGCUCAAUUUUAUGCAAUAUGGAACCAGUUUAUUCAUUUAAAUCUAUAUCUGUGUAUCCUCAUCAUGUGAAACAAAAUAUAUGUGGAACUCGUGCAAAGUACCGAGACGGUAAAAAAGAUACUGCCGUAAAGGUUUAUACUAUAAAUCAAGAAUCUGUAUACCUUUUGAUUAGUAAUGUUCCAGCUGUUGGUGGAGCCGAGGAGCUACAAGCUCUUUGUGAUCAGUAUGGAACAGUGGAAGACUUCAGACCUUUAGAUGAAUAUCCUUGUGAAGAAUUCACUGAAGUUUAUUUAGUGAAAUAUAACUUAUUUCCAGCUGCAAGGAUUGCAAAAAAACAUUUAGAUGAUAGAUCAUUUCUUGGCAGUACCCUGCAUGUUUGUUAUGCACCAGAAUUUGAAACAAUUUCAGAGACACGAUUAAAGUUACAAGAAAGAAGAAAAUAUGUUGCUUGGAAAACUAAAACAGGAAAAAAUAAUACAAAUGCUGCUAAUGAACACAAACGUAAUGCUUCUAGCAGCCAAGUUCAAAGAAAUCAGCUAUCCAAUAUCCCUUCAUUGCAACCUGUUACUUAUAUUUGGGCUGGAAAAGAAUACACUGAAUACCCUGUGCCUCCUUUGGAAAACUUACCUGUGCAAAAUAGAGAAAGAAUUACAUCAAGUUCAUUCGUUCCUCACCAGGUUCGGUCAAAUCAACCACUAGCUUGGAACUCUGCAGGAAGCAGUGCUUCUUCACAAUCUGAUCUAAGAUCUGCUCCUCAAAGUCAAUUGCCUUACAAAGCUGAUUCUUCAUAUCAGAAAACCAUUUCUGAUGUGAGAAAAAGAGUUGCACAGGUGUCUGUUCCUAAUGUGAGAGUUAGCUUGAAAAGAAGGAAGAGACUAUGAUUAUGGGCAGUUUGCCUUAAUUUGUCAGGAUACUUAGCUCAAAAUCACUUUCCGAUUCCUCAUUUUUUGAUGGAAAUACACUUUUGGAGGAAGCACCAACAGUUCCUAUUACUAAUUACAGCUGCAGAUUCUGUACUUUUGUUUACACCAACAAGAGAGCUCUUAUUAAACAUGAGAGCACACAUUAUCCAGAGAAAAUUCCAUUCAGCUGUCCUUCUUGUCCAAAAGUUUUUCGAGAAAAAUAUCAGUUGCAAAGCCACCUAUACACUCACGAUUCUGCUCGACAUUUCAAAUGCAUUUUUUGUGGCCGUACAUUUCGUCACAGUAGCAGUCUUGCUAGACACAAGCGUUCUCAUCGCUUGGCUCUUCAAAAUCAUAAUCAUUAGGACUGUUUUUCUUGUGACUGCAGCUACUAAAAGACUAUUUUGUGGUGAAAAAAAAUGUCAAGAUAAGAUUUUUUUAAAAAACUUUUUUAGAUACAUGUUCAAAUACUGCUUUGGUUAUUGGAAUAUUUUUCAUUAAAAAUGAUAUUUGUCAUUACAACUGGGAUUUUAAAUUGAAAUUCAUAUAUUAAUCUGAUUUUUUUCCUUACUAUUGUAAGAUGUAAACCAAUCAUAGUACUUCAAAAUAUAUAGAGAGUGAGAACUUGAUGUAAAAAAUAAUUAUCUUUUAAAGUAUUGACUAUCUUUAAUUUUCUUCAUUAUUUAUAUAAGGAAAAACUUUUUUUUUAGGAUUAAGAAUGCAUUCGUAUGUGAUAUUUUAUCUUAUAU